GUGGACCUAGGUUAGGCUGUGUGGGAGGUUAAUGUGAUGUGUCUUGGAGACCCAUAGGAAAAUGGGAUUGUGGGUUUGGGAUAAUGGUGGUAAAAAUUUGAACUUGACGAAGGAUUAAGGGCUGUUGAAGAAGAUUCCAAGAGGAGGGGAAGGAGGAGAUUGGAGAUGACGAACCUUUUGGAUAAUCGAAAAAGUGUCAUGGAACCCAAACCUGAUUGGGAUGCGCCACGUUUUAUGCUACCUAACAUUAACAUCUAUGCGGUGCACCACUGAGGAAAAGGUCUCUUCGAACCAACAUGUUUUGUUCGGCAAGAGAAAGACUCUCGCUAGUACUUCUUUUCUCCU
rnacentral:lncRNA from 1 species